GCUCUGGCACUCCAGGCAAAGAUGGUGGAGCGCAGUUACAGCUUUUCACUGACUACAUUCAGCCCAUCUGGUAAACUUGUCCAGAUUGAAUAUGCAUUGGCUGCUGUAGCUGGAGGAGCCCCUUCAGUUGGAAUUAAAGCCGCAAAUGGUGUGGUAUUCGCAACUGAGAAGAAACAGAAAUCUAUUCUGUAUGAUGAGCGAAGUGUCCACAAAGUGGAACCAAUUACCAAGCACAUAGGCCUGGUGUAUAGUGGCAUGGGCCCAGAUUACAGAGUGCUCGUGCACAGAGCUCGAAAUCUUGCUCAGCAAUACUAUCUCGUUUACCAAGAACCCAUUCCCACAGCUCAGCUGGUACAGAGAGAGA